CUAAGGAAACAUGGUAAUCAUAGGUAUUUUUCUUUUUAAAAUAAUUUCUAAUGCCUUUGUUAAUUCUUUGUAAUUUGAAAAUAAUAAAUGGUCUUUUAUAUUUUCUUAAUGGCUAAAUAAAAUUGUUUUAUGAAAUAAAAAGAAUGUCUUGGGAGAUUUAAUCAACCUAGUAAUUUUAAGAAGAUAAACAAUGGUAAACAACACAUGCUACAAGUCUUUUAUUUUUAAAACGAUAGAAGUAAGACGCAUAAAAUUACCAUUUUAAACACCACAAUUACGCAACGUUCCCACGUAUGCAUGUUACAUGCAAAUUCACUUUUACGUCCAAAAUUAUGUCUAUUUUUCAACCAUGUAGUUUUUAUAGAAAGAUCAUGCAUUAUUCUUUUUAUGACCUUAUGUGUAAUUAAGUAUAUUAGUAUGUUGUGUGUAACCCAUACUAUGUGUGCAUGGCCCAUGCACACAUGAAUUAUAUGAAAGGGAAAAUUAGUAAUUAUGUGAAGCUAAGGAAUGUCGUUUUGAUUAUGGUAUAUGCUCGUUGAGAAGUUGUGGUUUACUUAGCUUGGACCUGAGGUAAGAAAGUUAGAUAGAAUUUAUGAAUGUUAUAUUAUGAAUGGUAAGAUUGUUGUGUGAAUGAAAUGUUAUGAAUUAUGAAUGCCACAAUGUGAUGAUAUGUUGGCAUGUAUGAAUAUUGUAUGAUAUGAAUGGAUGUUAGCGUGAUGAACGCGACACAUCAAAAUGGGUUGCUAAGAAUAAAGAAGACAUAACCCGAGUUACUAAGGAUAUGAAGACGUAACUCCAUGGGCAGACGCGCCGAGGUUAUUCAAGGACCAGAGACUCUUGUUUACCUCAAAGGCUGGCAUGGACAAGUUAGCGGGCCAUGUUCACAAUGAAUUAUGUAGCAAAUAGGUUUCUCAAUGGCACACGUGGUGAUGUGGGAAGUUCUAUUGUCUUGGUGUGUAUGGCGUGGGGCAUCCUAUGGACGAAAAACGAUCACUUAAAGAUGUCAUUUUAAUAAUGUAAAGGGAAAGAAAAGCUCACCCAGCCUUGAGUGGAAAGCUUAGGUGGUGAUGUGUACAUAUGCGGCCGCUUAACCACCACGGCCAAGGAGUUCUCAAAGGAACUAAGGGGUUUACCCUAUUUUUGCCGCUUAGGUCGGCGGGUUUGUAAAUUUGAAACAGUAAUGACCAUUUUGAGUUAUAAAUAACUUG